ACUCCUACGGGAGGCAGCAGUGGGGAAUAUUGCACAAUGGGGGAAACCCUGAUGCAGCCAUGCCGCGUGUGUGAAGAAGGCCUUGGGUUGUAAAGCACUUUCAGUAGGGAGGAAGGUAGUGUAGUUAACACCUGCAUUAUUUGACGUUACCUACAGAAGAAGCACCGGCUAACUCCGUGCCAGCAGCCGCGGUAAGUACGGAGGGUGCGAGCGUUAAUCGGAAUUACUGGGCGUAAAGCGCAUGCAGGCGGCCUGUUAAGUCAGAUGUGAAAGCCCGGGGUCUUAACCGUCGGAAUUGCAUUUGAAACUGGCAGGCUAGAGUCUUGUAGAGGGGUUAGAAUUUCAGGUGUAGCGGUGAAAUGCGUAGAGAUCUAGAAGGAAUACCGAGUGGCGAAGGCGGCCCCUGGACAAAGACUGACGCUCAGAUGCGAAAGCGUGGG
rnacentral:rRNA from 1 species